rnacentral:rRNA from 1 species
AAGACCCCCGGGGGAAAGUUUUUUUGGUUUUUUUUACCAGCUCAGAUUGAACGCUGGCGGCAGGCCUAACACAUGCAAGUCGAGCGGUAGCACAGAGAGCUUGCUCUCGGGUGACGAGCGGCGGACGGGUGAGUAAUGUCUGGGAAACUGCCUGAUGGAGGGGGAUAACUACUGGAAACGGUAGCUAAUACCGCAUAACGUCGCAAGACCAAAGUGGGGGACCUUCGGGCCUCAUGCCAUCAGAUGUGCCCAGAUGGGAUUAGCUAGUAGGUGGGGUAACGGCUCACCUAGGCGACGAUCCCUAGCUGGUCUGAGAGGAUGACCAGCCACACUGGAACUGAGACACGGUCCAGACUCCUACGGGAGGCAGCAGUGGGGAAUAUUGCACAAUGGGCGCAAGCCUGAUGCAGCCAUGCCGCGUGUGUGAAGAAGGCCUUCGGGUUGUAAAGCACUUUCAGCGGGGAGGAAGGCGAUAAGGUUAAUAACCUCAUCGAUUGACGUUACCCGCAGAAGAAGCACCGGCUAACUCCGUGCCAGCAGCCGCGGUAAUACGGAGGGUGCAAGCGUUAAUCGGAAUUACUGGGCGUAAAGCGCACGCAGGCGGUCUGUCAAGUCGGAUGUGAAAUCCCCGGGCUCAACCUGGGAACUGCAUUCGAAACUGGCAGGCUAGAGUCUUGUAGAGGGGGGUAGAAUUCCAGGUGUAGCGGUGAAAUGCGUAGAGAUCUGGAGGAAUACCGGUGGCGAAGGCGGCCCCCUGGACAAAGACUGACGCUCAGUGCGAAAGAGCGCA